rnacentral:rRNA from 1 species
GACGGGGGGUGCGAGCGUUAAUCGGAAUUACUGGGCGUAAAGCGCAUGUAGGCGGCCGAACAAGUCAGGUGUGAAAUCCUCGGGCUUAACCUGGGAAGUACACUUGAUACUGUCCGGCUAGAGUUUGGCAGAGGAAAGUAGAAUUCCCGGUGUAGCGGUGAAAUGCGUAGAUAUCGGGAGGAAUACCAGUGGCGAAGGCGGCUUUCUGGGCCAAUACUGACGCUGAGGUGCGACAGCGUGGGGAGCAAACAGG